UGCCAGCCGCCGCGGUAAUACGAAGGGAGCGACCGUUGUCCGGAAUUACUGGGCGUAAAGAGCAUGUAGGCGGCUUUAUCAGUUGGGUGUGAAAUCCCGGGGCUCAACCCCGGAACUGCAUCCAAUACUGUAAAGCUAGAGACCGAGAGAGGAAAAUGGAAUUACGAGUGUAGAGGUGAAAUUCGUAGAUAUUCGGAGGAACACCAGUGGCGAAGGCGGCUCACUGGCUUGAUACUGACGCUGAGGUGCGAAAGUGUGGGGAGCAAACAGGAUUAGAUA
rnacentral:rRNA from 1 species